rnacentral:rRNA from 1 species
AUUGAACGCUGGCGGCAGGCCUAACACAUGCAAGUCGAACGAGUGGCGGACGGGUGAGUAAUGUCUGGGAAACUGCCUGAUGGAGGGGGGUAACUACUGGAAACGGUAGCUAAUACCGCAUACCAUCGGAUGUGCCCAGAUGGGAUUAGCUAGUAGGUGGGGUAAAGGCUCACAAAGGCGAAGAUACCUAGCUGGUCUGAGAGGAUGACAAGCCUCACUGGAACUGUGAAACGGUCCAGACUCCUACGGGAGGCAGCAGUGGGGAAUAUGGCACAAUGGGCGCAAGCCUGAUGCAGCCAUGCCGCGUGUAUGAAUAAGGCAUUCGGGUUGUAAAGUACUUUCAGCGGGGAGGCGUUACCCGCAGAAGAAGCACCGGCUAACUCCGUGCCAGCCGCCGCGGUAAUUC